AUAACAGGCUGAUCUUCCCCAAUAGCUCACAUCGACGGGAAGGUUUGGCACCUCGAUGUCGACUCUUCGCCACCUGGGGCUGUAGUAUGUUCCAAGGGUUGGGCUGUUCGCCCAUUAAAGACCCCCGACACCCUGGUUCGUAGCCACGUGCUCUA
rnacentral:ncRNA from 1 species